GCCAGGGUAGCCUAGUGGACAUGGCACCUGCCCGGUAAGCAGAAGGUUGUGGGUUCGAUUCCCGCCCCUGGACA